rnacentral:rRNA from 1 species
UCCUACGGGGGGCAGCAGUGGGGGAUAUUGCACAAUGGGGGGAACCCUGAUGCAGCGACGCCGCGUGAGCGAAGAAGUACCUCGGUAUGUAAAGCUCUAUCAGCAGGGAAGAAAAUGACGGUACCUGAUUAAGAAGCCCCGGCUAACUACGUGCCAGCAGCCGCGGUAAUACGUAGGGGGCAAGCGUUAUCCGGAUUUACUGGGUGUAAAGGGAGCGCAGACGGCAGCGCAAGUCUGGAGUGAAAGCCCGGGGCCCAACCCCGGAACUGCUCUGG